rnacentral:lncRNA from 1 species
GCACAACCAGCCUCGCUGCGGACUUCGCACCGCGCGCCACUGUGAUUGGUCCUCGCUGCUGUCAUUCCCCCGAGACGGGGGCGGGGAGAGUCUGACGUCACCGGGAAAGGUGCUGCUAGCAGAGUUUUAUAUACUCUGAUCAUCUUUAUACUGGACUUGUUACUGAAUCUUUUGGAGUGGCUGGAGCCUGAGGACAAGGACACAAGCAGCAGGACAGAUGCAAGAGAAAAGCAGGUGAAGCCACAACCAGAUCAGCAUGCUGCUGUUUCAGGAGGGAAGUAUGGCAUUUAUCUGUGGUCAGAACACAGUGGGUCUCAUCCUAUCUCAAAGUGUCAUGACAAUACUGGCCCAAAGCAGAUGCCUGCUGAAUCUGCAAGUCUUACAAACAUCCAGCUCGGCUGUUCACCUAUGUCCAAAAUGAUGUACAGACCUGGGAGGCAGCUGCCUAAACUAUCACGCAUGUCCCAUCAGUUGCCCAGAAAACAGGCUCUUCAAAGCCACCACCAAGUGAAACCAGCCCAGACUGAUGUGUUGAAGGAGAAAGUUGCAAGUGUUUUAUCUCCAGUUAAACUGUUCUCCGCUCCUUACCAGGUAAGGGGGCUCAGUGGGGAAUCUAAGAGCAGUCGUUCCACUGCAGAAUGUCACUACCUCACGCUGUCGACCA